AAACCAGCACCUCAAGUGGUCAGGAUGAUUAUUGGGCCUAAAGCAUCCGUAGCCGGCUCUGUAAGUUUUCGGUUAAAUCUGUACGCUCAACGUACAGGCUGCUGGGAAUACUGCAGGGCUAGGGAGUGGGAGAGAUAGACGGUACUCGGGAGGAAGUGGUAAAAUGCUUUGAUCUCUCGAUGACCACCUGUGGCGAAGGCGGUCUACCAGAACACGUCCGACGGUGAGGGAUGAAAGCUGGGGGAGCAAACCGGAUUAGAAACCCGAGUAGUCC
rnacentral:rRNA from 1 species